rnacentral:lncRNA from 1 species
UGGGGGGUGGGGGAGAGCUUAUUAUUUGAGCCUGUAUUGGGGGUGGGGGAGCAGCCUAAAGGACAGUCUUUGAUUCUUAUAUAUGCCUCAAAUUGCAGCCUUAGUGCCUCUUAUGGGCACCUAUAACCAUAAUUUUGAAGUAUUUAAGUUUUCUUGAGGUUACCCGGCUGUCAUAGACACUCACAUGCAAACUUGUUACUACAUACUUGCAAAUGUUCUACUACGUCUGUGGUUUCCCAUUGGCAGGAAUUGUUUGUUCCAACUGCAGGGUAAAGGGCCAUCUCUGCAAUCUCCAGUCACCCCUGUCGUGUGCGAGCUGACUACAUCAUCACUACCCCAUCUGAGCUUGACACUCAAGCUUUACAGCACUUCCCCUUUCAUUUUGCUAUACCCCUGUCACGGAAUUGGAGGCUGCGAACGGCAAGCUUCGAAGGUGCCGUAAAUUUCGUUGCCCUGUGCUUUUCCUGGACCUGGCGGUCCGACCUUUUGAAUCCGCGCCACAUUGCUGCCGGCCACAUCACCUCAAAGAUUCUACGCAAGCGCUGUUGUUAUCACAUGCAGGCCACGGCCACAGCUGGGGCAGUGCCCCACACUUUGGCAGCAGCAGCGGAGCGCAUCGCAUGCAGCUUGCUGAAUCCUUGUUUUAUCUACCGUCGCAGUGUUGCCAAGUUCUUCACAUUGGCACUGCGAACCAGUGGCAGCCAUGCUUGGUUUGGCCCCAUGGCUUUGGCCCUGCUGCUGACAGUGUCACCUGAAUUGGGACUACACUGGCAUUGAAAGUGCCGGCGGUGGGGAGCGAGUGCUUUGUCUGGCUCUCGCAUCGAAGUGUCUCAAAAACUCGGAGAUUACUCAGUCUCCAAACCUUAAGGCACCAGAAAACAGUGCACAUGAUGCCACACCAUCUCAGCGCA